UGCAAGUCGAGCGGAAACGAGUUAUCUGAACCUUCGGGGAACGAUAACGGCGUCGAGCGGCGGACGGGUGAGUAAUGCCUAGGAAAUUGCCCUGAUGUGGGGGAUAACCAUUGGAAACGAUGGCUAAUACCGCAUGAUGCCUACGGGCCAAAGAGGGGGACCUUCGGGCCUCUCGCGUCAGGAUAUGCCUAGGUGGGAUUAGCUAGUUGGUGAGGUAAGGGCUCACCAAGGCGACGAUCCCUAGCUGGUCUGAGAGGAUGAUCAGCCACACUGGAACUGAGACACGGUCCAGACUCCUACGGGAGGCAGCAGUGGGGAAUAUUGCACAAUGGGCGCAAGCCUGAUGCAGCCAUGCCGCGUGUGUGAAGAAGGCCUUCGGGUUGUAAAGCACUUUCAGUCGUGAGGAAGGUGGUGUAGUUAAUAGCUGCAUUAUUUGACGUUAGCGACAGAAGAAGCACCGGCUAACUCCGUGCCAGCAGCCGCGGUAAUACGGAGGGUGCGAGCGUUAAUCGGAAUUACUGGGCGUAAAGCGCAUGCAGGUGGUUUGUUAAGUCAGAUGUGAAAGCCCGGGGCUCAACCUCGGAAUAGCAUUUGAAACUGGCAGACUAGAGUACUGUAGAGGGGGGUAGAAUUUCAGGUGUAGCGGUGAAAUGCGUAGAGAUCUGAAGGAAUACCGGUGGCGAAGGCGGCCCCCUGGACAGAUACUGACACUCAGAUGCGAAAGCGUGGGGAGCAAACAGGAUUAGAUACCCUGGUAGUCCACGCCGUAAACGAUGUCUACUUGGAGGUUGUGGCCUUGAGCCGUGGCUUUCGGAGCUAACGCGUUAAGUAGACCGCCUGGGGAGUACGGUCGCAAGAUUAAAACUCAAAUGAAUUGACGGGGGCCCGCACAAGCGGUGGAGCAUGUGGUUUAAUUCGA
rnacentral:rRNA from 1 species